UAAUUAUCAAGGGUCAUAUAUCAUUAUUAAUUAUGAAAAAUAUAUGUUCAUCACAAAAAGAUCUAGGGUGCAUAAUACAUAAAACUGUUAUCUCUGGAUGAUAAGAUUCUGUUGAAGGCUUAGUUUUUCUCAGUGUUAUCGUUUUGUAUUUUCCAGAGUUAACUUUUCUGAACAUUCUCUUUUCAAUCAGAAGAUAACACACACACACAAAUAAAAUCAUCGGUAAGUAUUGUUUCAGGGAGACCAGGGUCUUACUCAUUAAGCCCCUAAGGUCUGGCCCUUGGGCCAUGUCCACUGGGCUUCUGUCGUCCUUAAUGAGUGUACAUCACAGCAGAUACCUGCCAAGCUGUGGAUUUUUAAUAAUUCCACUUCCUUCUUCUUUAAGUGAGAAGGCGGUCAGUGCCCUGGGACUAUGGGUCACCUCAGCACUGGGUGGCUCUGGCCCCGACAGUCGAAGCCUUGCACCUGGUAAUCUCUGCCCUCCAGAGCUGUUAGGGGAACCAGGUGCCAUCACCCCUGUGGGGACGCUGGAAACCGACUCUCCCAUUAUUUCCUGUUGUGUUCCUGAGUCCGCUGGGCUUGGCGUCGCUAGCUUUUCUCUCCCUUCCCGUUGACAGGGAGACUUCUCUGGUGUGCUCACUGGGGCUUUAGCCCACUGAGUUGUGGAUAGAAUCAGCUGCAUAGCCACAAAGUAGCAUUUAUUUGUAGUUGAUACUAAGUUACCUGUUUAAGGCCUAGAAAUGGCACCAUCAGUGUUUUCUUUGCUUAAAAGUGGCAUAAACUGUUCCAUGUUUUUGUUUAUUUUUCCCUCUCCCUCCUCCCUAUCUCUCUUCCCCUCCCCCUCUUCCUCCUCGAUCUUUGCCUUGUUUUGCUGCUGCAGACUGAACCCAGUGAUCCGCACACACGAGGCAGCCUCUCCACCACUGCCCGCGCGCCGACUCCUCUUCCAUUUUCCUGAGAUGGAGAAUACUGAGUACACGGAACUUGGGCUAACUCUACAGGACAUCGACCGGAAUCUACAUUUCUGUGUACCGAGUCUAGAGCUUCCUGAUCCUCAGACGCGGAACAAUGCCUGGCCCAGAUGUUUGCUGGUGUAGCGCUCCAGCUCGGCUUAUGAAAAGGAGAUGGCCCUUACAGUCCCGGCCCUCAGACCUUCGGAGCCACGCCCUUUCUUUUGACUCCC
rnacentral:lncRNA from 1 species